CCUACGGGUGGCAGCAGUGGGGAAUCUUGCGCAAUGGGCGAAAGCCUGACGCAGCGACGCCGCGUGAGUGAUGAAGGCCUUCGGGUUGUAAAGCUCUGUGGGGCGAGACGAAUAAGUGCAGCCUAAUACGUUGCAUGAUGACGGUAUCGCCUUAGCAAGCACCGGCUAACUCUGUGCCAGCAGCCGCGGUAAGACAGAGGGUGCAAACGUUGUUCGGAAUUACUGGGCGUAAAGCGAGUGUAGGCGGUCUGUAAAGUCAGGUGUGAAAGCCCCGGGCUCAACCCGGGAAGUGCACUUGAAACUCACAGGCUAGAGUAUCGGAGAGGUUGGUGGAAUUCUCGGUGUAGAGGUGAAAUUCGUAGAUAUCGAGAGGAACACCGGUGGCGAAGGCGGCCAACUGGACGAAUACUGACGCUGAGACUCGAAAGCGUGGGGAGCAA
rnacentral:rRNA from 1 species